CCUACGGGAGGCAGCAGUGGGGAAUUUUGGACAAUGGACGAAAGUCUGAUCCAGCAAUGCCGCGUGCAGGACGAAGGCCUUCGGGUUGUAAACUGCUUUUGUACGGAACGAAAAAGUCUUUUUUAAUAAAGAAGGCUUAUGACGGUACCGUAAGAAUAAGCACCGGCUAACUACGUGCCAGCAGCCGCGGUAAUACGUAGGGUGCAAGCGUUAAUCGGAAUUACUGGGCGUAAAGCGUCCGCAGGCGGUUCUAUAAGACAGAUGUGAAAUCCCUGGGCUCAACCUAGGAACUGCAUUUGUGACUGUAGAGCUAGAGUACGGCAGAGGGGGAUGGAAUUCCGCGUGUAGCAGUGAAAUGCGUAGAUAUGCGGAGGAACACCGAUGGCGAAGGCAAUCCCCUGGGCCUGUACUGACGCUCAUGGACGAAAGCGUGGGGAGCAAACAGGAUUAGAUACCCUGGUAGUCCACGCCCUAAACGAUGUCAACUGGUUGUUGGGUCUUCAGUGACUCAGUAACGAAGCUAACGCGUGAAGUUGACCGCCUGGGGAGUACGGCCGCAGGUUGAAACUUAAAUGAAUUGACGG
rnacentral:rRNA from 1 species